rnacentral:rRNA from 1 species
CGGACGGGUGCGUAACGCGUAUGCAACCUGCCUGACACAGGGGGAUAAUCCGAAGAAAUUUGGUCUAAUACCCCAUAAUACCGAUAUAGGCAUCUAUGUUGGUUGAAAGCUUUGGUGGUGUCAGAUGGGCAUGCGUUGUAUUAGCUAGUUGGUGAGGUAACGGCUCACCAAGGCGACGAUACAUAGGGGGACUGAGAGGUUAACCCCCCACCACUGGUACUGAGACACGGACCAGACUCCUACGGGAGGCAGCAUG